CCUACGGGAGGCUGCAGUGGGGAAUAUUGCACAAUGGGGGAAACCCUGAUGCAGCAACGCCGCGUGAGUGAAGAAGUAUGUCGGUAUGUAAAGCUCUAUCAGCAGGGAAGAAGAAAGAUGGUACCUGACUAAGAAGCCAAGGCUAACUACGUGACAGCAGCCGCGGUAAUACGUAGGGGGCAAGCGUUAACCGGAUUUACUGGGUGUAAAGGGGGCGUAGACGGCUGUGUAAGUCUGAAGUGAAAGCCCGUGGCUCAACCGCGGAACUGCUUUGGAAACUGUAUAGCGUGAGUACGGGAGAGGCAGGCGGAAUUGCUAGUGUAGCGGUGAAAUGCGUAGAUAUUAGGCAGAACACCAGUGGCGAAGGCGGCCUGCUGGACAGAAACUGACGUUGAGGCUCGAAAGCGUGGGGAGCAAACAGGAUUAGAUACCCCAGUAGUC
rnacentral:rRNA from 1 species